rnacentral:rRNA from 1 species
GAUGAACGCUGGCGGCGUGCCUAAUACAUGCAAGUCGAGCGAACAGACGAGGAGCUUGCUCCUCUGACUUUAGCGGCGGACGGGUGAGUAACACGUGGAUAACCUACCUAUAAGACUGGGAUAACUUCGGGAAACCGGAGCUAAUACCGGAUAAUAUAUUGAACCGCAUGGUUCAAUAGUGAAAGACGGUUUUGCUGUCACUUAUAGAUGGAUCCGCGCCGCAUUAGCUAGUUGGUAAGGUAACGGCUUACCAAGGCAACGAUGCGUAGCCGACCUGAGAGGGUGAUCGGCCACACUGGAACUGAGACACGGCCCAGACUCCUACGGGAGGCAGCAGUAGGGAAUCUUCCGCAAUGGGCGAAAGCCUGACGGAGCAACGCCGCGUGAGUGAUGAAGGUCUUCGGAUCGUAAAACUCUGUUAUUAGGGAAGAACAAAUGUGUAAGUAACUAUGCACGUCUUGACGGUACCUAAUCAGAAAGCCACGGCUAACUACGUG